GACGUAGGGCGCGAGCGUUGUCCGGAUUUAUUGGGCGUAAAGAGCUCGUAGGCGGCUUGUCGCGUCGUCCGUGAAAACCUGCGGCUCAACUGCAGGCUGGCGGUCGAUACGGGCAGACUUGAGUUCGGUAGGGGAGACUGGAAUUCCUGGUGUAGCGGUGAAAUGCGCAGAUAUCAGGAGGAACACCGGUGGCGAAGGCGGGUCUCUGGGCCGAUACUGACGCUGAGGAGCGAAAGCGUGGGGAGCGAACAGG
rnacentral:rRNA from 1 species